ACUUACUAACAAUCCAGUUGAUUUUUUGGACUCACUAACCAAACCUUACACUCAUCCAAUUAUGGGCUUAGACCAGCCUAAUCUUCAUAUUUUUUUUCUUCUAAAGAAACUUGUAAAAAAAUUAUAAAACAAGAUAAAGAUUUUAGUUGAAAUAAAAAUAAAAUAAUAAACUCUUUUACACUUGAAGAAGAGGCUGAAA
rnacentral:lncRNA from 1 species